rnacentral:misc_RNA from 1 species
UUUCCGUAGGUGAACCUGCGGAAGGAUCAUUAAAAAAUUGGACUCCAUUGGUGAGUUCAUUAAUAAUCCUACCCUUUGUGAAUUUGUUUGUUUGAAUAAUUUUUUUUCCAAAAAAAUUAUUGAAUGUCUUUCCCUGUUUUGGUGGAGCUUGUAAGUGAAACCAGGCAGGGGAAUGGCAAACAAUAAUUAUUUUUGAAAAAGACCUUUUUUAAAAUUAAACUUUUUGUAUUCAUUUGUCUAAAAUUAUUUUUAUAAUAUAAAACAACUUUUGACAAUGGAUCUCUUGGUUCUCGCAACGAUGAAGAACGCAGCAAAAUGCGAUAAGUAGUGUGAAUUGCAGAAUACGUGAAUCAUCGAAUCUUCGAACGCAUAUUGCACUUUUUAGUUUACUAAAAAAGUAUGUCUGUUUGAGUAUCAGUAAAAUAUUCUCAUAAAAAAUUUAUUUUUUAUGGUUAUGAGUGUUUUACAACGAUAACAAGUUGUUUCACUUUAAAUUCUUUGUUAUCAAAAAAAUCAUUAAAAGCUAAUUUUAAAGAUUUUUUAAAAUUGGAUAAAUUUUCCCGUAAAAAGGAAUAACCUAAACAAUUUUAAAAAUUAAAAUUGGUUUGAUUCUUCUUGAUUUAAAAAGGAAAAAAAAGUAAAAAUUAACUUGAUCUCAAAUCAGAUAAGAGUACCCGCUGAACUUAAGCAUAUCAAUAAGCGGAGGAAAAGAAACUAACUAGGAUUCCCUCAGUAACGGCGAGUGAAGCGGGAAGAGCUCAAAUUUGAAAUCUUCAAGGUUUUACCUUGACGAAUUGUAGUUUAAAGAAGUGUUUUCUGUUGGAGUUUUGGUAAAAGUUCUUUGGAAAGGACAUCAUAGAGGGUGAGAAUCCCGUAUUUGACCAUUAUCUCCAGCUUUGUGAUACACUUUCAAAGAGUCGGAUUGUUUGGGAGUGCAGUCCAAAAUGGGUGGUAAAUUUCAUCUAAAGCUAAAUACUGGCGAGAGACCGAUAGCGAACAAGUACCGUGAGGGAAAGAUGAAAAGAACUUUGAAAAGAGAGUUAAACAGUACGUGAAAUUGUCAAAAGGGAAGCGUUUGACACCAGUGUUGUUUUCUCGAAAAUCAAUUAAAAAAGGCCGGAUUUUGUGUUGUAUUGACUUUAUCAGCUUUCUGCACUUUUUUCUUGUCUUUUUUAAUGCACUUUUCGUUUAACAAGUCAACAUCAAUUUCUUUUGUUGUAAAAGGGUCAUUGGAAGGUGGCUCUCUUUUCGGAGAAAGUGUUUAUAGCCUUUGGCCUCUGCAAUCGGAGAGAUUGAGGUCUGCAGCGUAGAUCCUUCGGGUUAGAUACAUUUGUGCUAAGUUAUAGCCUUUCAUAGACAACUUGUUGACUAUGAUCAGUCAUGUAGCUUACUCGCUUAUGCUAUUUUACCUACGCUUAGGAUGUUG